AUACGUAGGUGGCAAGCGUUGUCCGGAAUUACUGGGUGUAAAGGGCGUGUAGGCGGGGAUGCAAGUCAGAUGUGAAAUUCCGGGGCUCAACCCCGGCACUGCAUCUGAAACUGUGUCUCUUGAGUGCUGGAGAGGAAAGCGGAAUUCCUAGUGUAGCGGUGAAAUGCGUAGAUAUUAGGAGGAACACCAGUGGCGAAGGCGGCUUUCGGGACAGUAGCUGACGCUGAGGCGCGAAAGCGUGGGUAGCGAACAGGAUUAGAUACCCUGGUAGUCCACGCCGUAAACGAUGGAUACUAGGUGUAGGAGGUAUCGACCCCUUCUGUGCCGGAGUUAACACAAUAAGUAUCCCACCUGGAGAGUACGGCCGCAAGGUUGAAACUCAAAUGAAUUGGCGGGU
rnacentral:rRNA from 1 species